rnacentral:snRNA from 1 species
CUAUUUGCCUCAAAAGCCCAUAUAAAAUUUUAACAUUACAGAGAAGAUUUUCAUGGACCUUGUGUAAGGAUUACAGGUAGAUUAUGAAGCAUUCUAUAUUUCU